rnacentral:lncRNA from 1 species
GCUGUACCUCUUGAGUUUUAUUCUUCUUCCGUGAAUAGACAUGAAACUCGCCUAUAGGUUCCUCCAAAUGUGAAUUGACUUUUAUCCCUUCAUUCCUUGGUGACACUAUUGGUUGAUUAAGUUCUAUGGUGUUAGGUAGGUUAGGAUGAAUGUCUGGACUGAGGGAGGAGGUAUUUGGUAGAUUGAGUUCUAGGCUGGAACUGCUGGACAUAUUGGGUUCUAGGCUGGAACUGCUGGACAUAUUGGGUUCUAGGCUGGAAUUACUAGGCAUCUUAGGUUCUAAACUGUCAAGAAGAUCCCAAGAAUUAUCUUCUCUCAAAUUCUGCCCCUGAAGAGAAUUACUCAUGUAAA